rnacentral:piRNA from 1 species
AAAGAGCUGAUUGUCAUACUUUC